UUUGUCUAUCCUCGCCUCGCAUUCUUCUGCAGAGAGCGCCCAUCGAGUUUUCCCUCUCACAUUCAUUCGCCCGUUCCCCAUUCCUCUCCAGGGCAGAGCUUCUAGCAGGCGACGGCGAUUAUGGAGAGGGAGAAGGGAAGAGGGGGUAGAGACCCGCUCCGAAACCAGGAUGUUGUGCUCAGUUUGCUUCGUUCAUUGUGAGAUGAACAACGGCAGGAGCUUUGGCAUGUUUUUUCGGGAUGUCAAUGAAA